AGUCUGAUGCAGAGCUUGAACUCAUGAACCUGAGCAAGAUCACACGACCUGAGCUGAAGUCGGUCGCUUAACUGACUGAGCCACCCAGGCACCCCAACGGAGGCCUUGACCAUGGAAGGGACCACCAGGCAAGCAGUGCUGGUGGCCACAGGAGCUGACAGCAGCAUCCCACUGACAUUGUGCAAGGAAGUGGACCCUUGCAGGGGGAGGACCGCAGUCCUCCAGCUCCAGGAAAUGGAAUUCUGCCAACAGCUCUGUUCAAGCUUGGAGGGGAUGUUGAGCGCUAGGUGCAAACACUGCCUGUGACACACGGGAGAGAACCCUCAGCAUCACACUGGACUGCUGACCUGCAGAACUGGGACACAUGGAUGGCUGCUGUCGAAAUGGGAGAACACUGGUGAGGGGCAUCUGGCUGCACUGAACACUUGCAACUGGGAGUUGAUUAUAGCUUGCCUACUCUUCCAGCGGAAAUAUACAUAACAGUUGUGCAUCCAUGGACUGAGGAAAUGUCCAGCAUUCACACAGAUAAUCUUGGGGCUAUGGAAUGAAGGGUGAGCUCAUUCUCUUGUAUCGAAUUCCCUGGGAGUGAGUUUUCUAGAAUAAUCCAGAGGAAGAAAGACAGCCCCUGGGCCAGGACUCAGGAAGACAGGAUGACAACGUCACCUGACCACCGUGCAUGCGGAGAGAGCCUGGGUCACGUCCUCCUGCCUGGAAACUGAUGACGGAAGCCCAGUGCGCACUCCCAUUGAGUUUCCCGUUUUAGAGAAACAAUUAGCGUCACCGCUGUUGCCGCAUACAAAAUUCU